CACUAAAAUACCUAAUCUAUUUGGUUUUACCCUAAAAGAUACUCCACACCGCUCCAACUCUCUGCAGCCACCAUCUUCAUCUCUUAUGUGAUUAGUUUUUUAGGGUUUAUCUUUUCUUCACAUAGCCAAGAAAACCCUAACAUCCAUCUCUUUCGUCAUUCCCUUUCAUUGAUCUACCAGAGAAUCAUUAUCAAUAGAAUAUUCAAGCUUCAAUCAUCAGGUAAGAAAUCUUUUUUCUACAGGACUUGAUGUCAAUUCAGUUGGUAGGAAAAGUAGUGAUAGUCAAGAAGAUUAUGUGGUGGCACCAAAACAGAAAGAGGUUAAAUUGGUUGAAGCAAUUCAUGGAUCAAGUUUCUACAGCUUCAUUCGAAGCUUUCUGGUAUGAAGUUUUCUUAUCUUGGGGAUUUCCGGCACCGCUGAUUUGUAACCGUGACACACCUGUGUCUCAGGUGCUCUAUAUUGUUGGUUGCUGGUGCAAUUUCUUGAUUUUAUUUUACAUGAGCAUUAAGAAAUCUGGAAGAAAUUCAAAAGGGUCGUCGUGGUUGUAAGCCUCGCUAGAAGAUCUUCAUUAAGAUGAAUGGAAGUUCUAUUAGUUGUAUUUGCAUUUUGAAUGUUACCAAAUAUAUAAACAUUUAUAUAUUAGUUUUUAUCUUAGUGAUUAUUGGGUUUUAUGUGCAGUAGUAUAGCAAGGAUAGAAAGAAGUGUAAAAAAGCAAGCAAAAUCAGGCGCAUAAGAUGUUGGAUGAUGCAAUGGUCCAGCAAGCAGGCAGGCAACUAUGACUUAAGUUUUGUAUUUGCUCAUGUAUCAUAAGAAUGGAAUGGGCCAUAAAUUAUUAUAGGCACGUAAGGUGAAGAAGUUUAAUUUAUAUUCCAUAAGAAUGGUAAGUUGAACUCUAUAGCCAACCCGUGAUUCAAUUUAUGAAAAGUUAGUAUUCUUUUAAAGAUAUAAAUUCACCCACUUGACUCUUGAGCCAUUGAAGAUAAAUCGAAGUAAAAUAACCCGGGUCAGUCCAGCUCUAAUUAAAUUGGUCAAAUUUCCCUACAGGCUCUUUGAAGGCUUUGUGGAUAGGAUUGCGGUGAUACUUGGCUCUCUACAGGCUCUUUGAAGGCUUUGUUUUCAAUGUAGUUGCGGCCAUUGAACAUGAGGUUCGUGAUGGUUUUGACAUUUUGAACAUCUCAAUUGGGCCCAACAACCCUCUGGCUACCACAAGGACUACUUUUCUGAACCCGUUUAAUGCUGCACUUAUAUGAGUUGUAAAAGAUGGAGUUUUUGUUGCACAGGCAACUGAAAACAGUAGCUCAUUUGCCGAAACGAUGGUAUCUUAUAGUCCUUAGAUUGCAUCUGUAGCUGUUGUGGUUGAUGACCGAAGAUAUAAGAACCAUUUAACACUAGGAAACGGGAAAAUCCUAGCUAGCAUCGACAUGUCACACCCAAAGAUCUUAUAGCAUAUAAAUAGCUGAUAGCUUAAGCUUGCUUCGGUGUGGGGGCUCCGGCAAUUUUCCAGUAACUAGAAGAUAAAUCAAGUGAUGGGUCUUUCCAAGCUCACUCCCUAUGAUACCUAUGUAUGUUCCAAUUGGUUUGUAUAAAAAAAUUAGAUGGAUUUGAACCAGUUUAUCGUUCAUUUACAUAAACUGGUCAUACCCAUGGCAUGUAUUAAGAACCUUAGAAUAAUUUUUAUAUGUACACGAAUCAGUUGAGAAAUUCAUGAUUGGGAGCUACAUUUUUCAGUUUAA